rnacentral:rRNA from 1 species
AGCGAACGCUGGCGGCAGGCUUAACACAUGCAAGUCGAGCGGGCAUCCUUGUGGUGUCAGCGGCAGACGGGUGAGUAACGCGUGGGAACGUGCCCUUCGGUUCGGAAUAACUCAGGGAAACUUGAGCUAAUACCGGAUACGUGCGAGAGCAGAAAGGUUUAUCUGCCGAAGGAUCGGCCCGCGUCUGAUUAGCUAGUUGGUGAGGUUAUGGCUCACCAAGGCGACGAUCAGUAGCUGGUCUGAGAGGAUGAUCAGCCACACUGGGACUGAGACACGGCCCAGACUCCUACGGGAGGCAGCAGUGGGAAAUAUUGGACAAUGGGGGCAACCCUGAUCCAGCCAUGCCGCGUGAGUGAUGACGGCCUUAGGGUUGUAAAGCUCUUUUCUCCGGGACGAUAAUGACGGUACCGGAGGAAUAAGCCCCGGCUAACUUCGUG